rnacentral:rRNA from 1 species
GACGAACGCUGGCGGCGUGCCUAAUACAUGCAAGUAGAACGCUGAAGAGAGGAGCUUGCUCUUCUUGGAUGAGUUGCGAACGGGUGAGUAACGCGUAGGUAACCUGCCUGGUAGCGGGGGAUAACUAUUGGAAACGAUAGCUAAUACCGCAUAAAAUUGAUUAUUGCAUGAUAAUUAAUUGAAAGAUGCAAUUGCAUCACUACCAGAUGGACCUGCGUUGUAUUAGCUAGUUGGUGAGGUAACGGCUCACCAAGGCGACGAUACAUAGCCGACCUGAGAGGGUGAUCGGCCACACUGGGACUGAGACACGGCCCAGACUCCUACGGGAGGCAGCAGUAGGGAAUCUUCGGCAAUGGGGGGAACCCUGACCGAGCAACGCCGCGUGAGUGAAGAAGGUUUUCGGAUCGUAAAGCUCUGUUGUAAGAGAAGAACGGGUGUGAGAGUGGAAAGUUCACACUGUGACGGUAUCUACCAGAAAGGA